rnacentral:rRNA from 1 species
GACGAACCGUGCGAACGUUGUUCGGAAUCACUGGGCUUAAAGGGCGCGUAGGCGGAUUUGCCAGUCUGUGGUGAAAGCCCCCGGCUUAACCGGGGAAGUGCCGCGGAUACUGCAAGUCUGGAGGAGGGUAGGGGCGUCUGGAACGGUCGGUGGAGCGGUGAAAUGCGUUGAUAUCGACCGGAACUCCGGUGGCGAAGGCGAGGCGCUGGACCCUUUCUGACGCUGAGGCGCGAAAGCCAGGGGAGCGAACGGG